CCUACGGGAGGCAGCAGUGAGGAAUAUUGGUCAAUGGACGAGAGUCUGAACCAGCCAAGUAGCGUGAAGGAUGACUGCCCUAUGGGUUGUAAACUUCUUUUAUAUGGGAAUAAAAUGUUCCACGUGUGGGAUUUUGUAUGUACCCUAUGAAUAAGGAUCGGCUAAACCCGUGCCAGCAGCCGCGGUAAGACGGAGGAUCCGAACGUUAUCCGGGUUUAUUGGGUUUAAAGGGAGCGUAGGUGGGUUGUUAAGUCAGUUGUGAAAGUUUGCGGCUCAACCGUAAAAUUGCAGUUGAAACUGGCAGUCUUGAGUACAGUAGAGGUAGGCGGAAUUCGUGGUGUAGCGGUGAAAUGCUUAGAUAUCACGAAGAACUCCGAUUGCGAAGGCAGUUCACUGGACUGCAACUGACACUGAGGCUCGAAAGUGUGGGUAUCAAACAGGAUUAGAUACCCCUGUAGUC
rnacentral:rRNA from 1 species